UACGUAGGGUGCAAGCGUUGUCCGGAAUUACUGGGCGUAAAGUGUGCGCAGGCGGUGUUGCAAGUCGAGUGUGAAAUCCCCGAGCUUAACUUGGGAAUUGCGCUCGAAACUACGAUGCUCGAGUGUGGCAGAGGAAGGUGGAAUUCCACGUGUAGCGGUGAAAUGCGUAGAGAUGUGGAGGAACACCGAUGGCGAAGGCAGCCUUCUGGGCCAACACUGACGCUCAUGCACGAAAGCGUGGGGAGCAAACAGG
rnacentral:rRNA from 1 species